CGAUCAAUAUCUCAACACGGUUAAGCAAUUAGCAGAUAAUCUCGAAAUAGCUGGAAAAAGCAUCCCUCAUACUGACCUUGUUACUCAAGUACUGGCUGGACUAAAUGAGGAAUAUACUCCUAUUGUGGUUCAAAUAAAAAGUAGAGAAACUAUUUCCUGGCAUGAGCUACAAUCUGUGCUCAUGACUUAUGAAAGCAGAAUUGAGCAUCUCAACACUGUCAAAAACAGCCUGGCCUCAAUUAAUUUGAGCCACACCUCAACAAAUUUUGUGCAGAGAUCAAUAGCAAACAGAGGAGGCAGGUUCAACUAUGGUGAAAAAAGUAAUUACAACAGAGGAGUAAGAAGUAGAGGCAGAGGAAAUAGGCAGACUGGAAGUAGGUCCUCGUCAAAUUUGUGGAAUGAGUAACCAUUCAGCAGAAAAAUGCUUCAAUCGCUAUGAUGAGAGGUACAUGGGAACAAAGCUUGUUCAACAAUACCAAGGAAAUUCCUCAGGACCAGCUGCACUUGUAGCUUCAUCAAGCACUAUCACAGAUCUAGCUUGGUUUGCUGAUUCAGGAGCAAGCAAUCAUGUAACUGCUGAAAGAGGAAAUCUAAUUGAGGCACAUGAGUAUGGUGGUAAGGAAAAACUCACUAUUGGUAAUGGAAACAAACUUCAUAUAUCUCAUAUUGGCACAAAUAAAUUGAGCACAUUGAAUGACAAAUCCUUAAUUCUUGGUAAUGUACUAUUGGUACCAUCAGUUAAGAAAAAUUUGUUAAGUAUCUCACAAUUAACAUCUGAUAAUGGUGUGUUUAUGGAAUUUCACUCUGAUUUUUGUGUUGUCAAGGACAAGCAAAUGAAGGAGGUGCUGUUGGAAGGGAAGCUUAAGGAUGGAUUGUAUCAAAUUGAGCAACCACAUCAAGUUAAAAGGUUUUCCUGUCAAGAGUCAGUUUAUCUAGGUCAAAAGUCAGUUUGUCCAAAUAAGUUGAAUCCCUCAACAUUUGUUGUCAAGUCCAAAGUGUCCAGAAAUACUAGAGAGUAUGAGUCUACACUUAAGCUAUGGCAUAUGAGACUUGGACACCCUACAAAUCCUGUCAUGUCACAAGAACUCAAAUCUUGUAAUGAAAAAAUUGAUAUUAAUGAAGUCAAUCAGCUAUGUGAUGCUUGCUAGCUUGGUAAAUCACACUCUCUACCUUUCAAACCAUCCACUUCACAUGCUUUAGCCCCCCUUGAUUUAAUUCAUACAGACGUUUGGGGUCCUACUCCCAUAAACUCAACCUCUGGAUUUAGAUAUUACAUUUUAUUCAUUGAUGAUUAUAGUAGACACACUUGGAUCAUCCCAUGAAGAACAAAUCAGAAUCUAUAAACUUGUUCCCUCAAUUCAAAACCUUAGUUGAAAACAACUCGACAGGAAAAUAAAAGCACUUCAAUCAGAUUGGGGAGGUAAAUUCAAAGCAUUUACUAACUUAGCUCUCCAAUCUGGCAUUGACAUGCGAAUAUCAUGUCCUUACACCUCAGCUCAAAAUGGUAGAGCAGAAAGAAAACAUAGACACAUAACUGAAAUUGGACCAACACUUCUU
rnacentral:lncRNA from 1 species